CUCUGCCUUCUGGGCUGAGGGCGGGGGUUUAAGAAGGAAAACGUGAGAAACAUGCCGGAGUGGUACAGAAGGGGUCUGCGUGUCUCUUUCCAAUGGUAACCUUGAGUAAUUGCCCAUCUGGAGGUCUGUUUUGCAUUAUCCUGACUUGGGUCUGGUAGUGGUGGGCUAACUGUUUGAAACACCCCUUAAGUGGGAGGAUUCCCCAGCUGGGGCCCUCGGCCUGGUUUGUUUCAAAAUUGGCCCCUGGAAUUUCCAAGCAAGUACAAAAUUAAAUAAGUGAGUACUGUUCAUGGAAGUCCCUACCGAGAAAGGGAGAAACAAAGAGUUUCAAAGUAUGUUUCAGGCUGAAAACAAAAAAGAAAACAAACAAACAAAAAAGCUUGAAAAUGCAUUUUGAGGCUGUGAUCUUCCGUUACAAGACUGUGGUCUGAAGACCAGUGGGGGUUCCUGACUUUUGUAAGAACUGCAAUGAGCCAACCAACGACUGCCAAACCUACCUGAAAACCAAUUAGAAACUCUCCCUGCUUCCCAAAAUGCCACCUUUAGUGGGUCCGGAAUUGGUUCUUUCCAGUGGGUUCAUGGUCUUGGCUGACUUCAAUAAUGAAGCCACUGACCCCCGCAGUGAGUACAGUUUUUAAAAAUUGUGUGCCCAGAGUUUGUUCCUUCAGAUGUUCAGAUGUGUCCCAGUGGGUUCGUGGUCUCGCUGACUUCAGGAGUGAAGCCACAGACCUUUGCAGUGAGUGUUACAGCUCAUAAAGGUGGCCCUUCCAGAGUUGUUUGUUCCUCCUGGUGGGUUUGUGGUCUGGCUGACUUCAAGAAACAAGCUGCAAACCCUCGUGGUGAGUGUUACAGAUCAUAAACAUUGCGUGGACGCAAAGAGUGAGCAGCAGCAAGAUUUAUUGUGAAGAGCUACAAAACAAACAUACCACAGCCUGGAAAGCGACCCCAGUGGGUUACCACUGCUGCCUAGGGGUAGCCAGCUUUUAUUCCCCUAUAUGGCCCCACCCACGUCCUACUGAUUGGUCCAUUUUACAGAGCGCUGAUUGGUCCAUUUUACAGAUUGCUGAUUGGUCCAUUGUUACAGAGUGCUGAUUGGUCCAUUUUUACAUAGUGCUGAUUGGUGUGUUUACAAUCCUUUAGCUAGACAGAAAAGUUCUCCAAGUCCCCACCUGACCCAGAAGCCCAGCCGGCUUCACCUCUCAAUAGCAUGUGUGCCCAACACUGUUUCCUCUUUCUACUCUAGAAAACUUACUCUCUUUUCAAACACCCUUGAGCCCCUGCUGAAACAAAAGUGAGGGUAGAUGAGUUUUUUUUUUCAGCUUAUGCAUACACAGAUUUCGUUAAUGUGGGCUCCGACACCGUUUUGUCUCUGCCAGUAAGAAAGGGUUUAAGCAGACUAAGAGAGUACAGCAUGAAAAUGCUGCCUUUAUGCAGGAAUCUGUGUAAAUAAGUCUAUAGAUUGAUUAAAAAAUUUGAGUAUCAUCAAUUCAGCCUUUUGGCAUAAUACAACUUGCUGUUAUUGUGGGAGUGGGUUUGCUAUUGUGAGAGUGGGGUCCUUAUGAAGAUGAGUUUGUCCCCCUCCCUUGCUCUCUCUCACCUACAUGAUGCCUUCAGCCCUUGGGAUGAUGCAGCAAGAAACCCCUCACCAGAUGGGGUGCCUCAGCCAUGGACUUCCCAGCCUCCAGACUAUCAGCCAAAUAAAUGUCUGUUCAUUAUAAAUUAGUCUGUGGUAUUCUGUUAUAGCAACACAAAACAGACUAAGGCACAAUUGAUUAGUGUAUUACUUCAAGACGGACUUCAGAACAUUGUUCUUCAGCUUGGCAGACUUUUCCAAAGGACGAGGACAUCGUGGCUGGUAUGUAGUUGGUUGAGUAGCAGUUCUGGAUGACACUGAUGGACACUGACAGAGCUUCAAGGCUCUACCAGGAACUGAACUGAGUGCUUCAACUCUCUGCUUCAUGAUUCAGUCAGCGAGGUAAUACUAUUUCCUUUCACAGAAUGAGAAAGCUGAGACUCACAGGCUAAGGUCCUUGCCUACAGUGACAUAACUCAUAAAUAGUGAAGCCAGGAUUUCAAAGGUGAUUUCACAGCUCGGAUUUUCGAGGGCAUCAGUCUUUAUCUAGCUUAGACCUUAGGACUUUUUGUCAGACACAGAAAUUAACUUGUCAGUCUCCAAUGUUUCCACAUUUUCUGAAGAUGUCUUCGUGUCUUUGUUUAGCAGAAAACUCACCUUUAAUGCAAAUUCCAUUCUAUAAUGAAUUCCACCCAGCCAUUCAUUUUUAUAGACUUUUUUAUACAAACAUACUGCAAAGGUGUUUCAGAUUGUGCCAUAUAAAUC
rnacentral:lncRNA from 10 species